UUCAGCCCUCAUCAGCUCAUAGCGUAUAUUAAAGUUGUUGCAGUUAAAAAGCUCGUAGUUGAAUUUCGGGGUUAGUAGGCUGGUCAUGCCACCGGUAUGCACUGGUCUUACUGAUUCCUCCUUCCUGAUGAACUGUAAUGCCAUUAAUUUGGUGUUGCGGGGAAUCUGGACUGUUACUUUGAAAAAAUUAGAGUGUUUAAAGCAGGCUAACGCUUGAAUACAUUAGCAUGGAAUAAUGAAAUAGGACGUUCGAUCCUAUUUUGUUGGUUUCUAGGAUUGACGUAAUGAUUAAUAGGGAUAGUUGGGGGCAUUAGUAUUCAAUUGUCAGAGGUGAAAUUCUUGGAUUUAUUGAAGACUAACUACUGCGAAAGCAUUUGCCAAGGAUGUUUUCAUUAAUCAAGAACGAAAGUUAGGGGAUCGAAGACGAUCAGAUACCGUCGUAGUCUUAACCAUAAACUAUGCCGACUAGGGAUCGGAUGAUGUUAAUUUUUUAAUGACUCAUUCGGCGCCU
rnacentral:rRNA from 1 species